AAUCUUCCGCAAUGGGCGAAAGCCUGACGGAGCAACGCCGCGUGAGUGAUGAAAGUCUNCGGAACNUNAAACUCUGUUGUUAGGGNCGAACAAAUUUGUUAGUAACUGAACAAGUCUUUACGGUACCUAACCAGAAAGCCACGGCUAACUACGUGCCAGCAGCCGCGGUAAUACGUAGGUGGCAAGCGUUAUCCGGAAUUAUUGGGCGUAAAGCGUGCGUAGGCGGUUUCUUAAGUCUGAUGUGAAAGCCCACGGCUCAACCGUGGAGGGACAUUGGAAACUGGGAAACUUGAGUGCAGAAGAGGAGAGUGGAAUUCCAUGUGUAGCGGUGAAAUGCGCAGAGAUAUGGAGGAACACCAGUGGCGAAGGCGGCUCUCUGGUCUGUAACUGACGCUGAUGUGCGAAAGCGUGGGGAUCAAACAG
rnacentral:rRNA from 1 species